ACGAACGCUGGCGGCGUGCUUAACACAUGCAAGUCGAACGGAAAGGCCCUGCUUUUGUGGGGUGCUCGAGUGGCGAACGGGUGAGUAACACGUGAGUAACCUGCCCUUGACUUUGGGAUAACUUCAGGAAACUGGGGCUAAUACCGGAUAGGAGCUCCUGCUGCAUGGUGGGGGUUGGAAAGUUUCGGCGGUUGGGGAUGGACUCGCGGCUUAUCAGCUUGUUGGUGGGGUAGUGGCUUACCAAGGCUUUGACGGGUAGCCGGCCUGAGAGGGUGACCGGCCACAUUGGGACUGAGAUACGGCCCAGACUCCUACGGGAGGCAGCAGUGGGGAAUAUUGCACAAUGGGCGGAAGCCUGAUGCAGCAACGCCGCGUGCGGGAUGACGGCCUUCGGGUUGUAAACCGCUUUCGCCUGUGACGAAGCGUGUGUGACGGUAAUGGGUAAAGAAGCACCGGCUAACUACGUG
rnacentral:rRNA from 1 species